rnacentral:lncRNA from 1 species
UUCAUUUGUCUCCUCCUGAUACCUCACGCCAACUAUCUCCCUCUAAAAAUCAAUAUUGCUUAUUGAUUUUAUAAUAAUAAUAAUAAUAAUAAAGUCUUGCCAUGUUUUAAGUGUUUUAACCCUUGACCGCUGAUACCCUGUCCGACUGACGUAGGGCCCCGUAACGUAUGUCAAGGCUCUGCCUAAAUUCGUUGGGGUUCUGUCUCGUGACGUAGGGAUAAAGUAGAAUUGGGUUACUAUACUUAAUGUGGGUGUACUAUAUAUUUUAUUAAAUAAUCCAGGAGCUGUACCCAAAAUAUAACAACCCUCCCGAAUAUUUUUCUGACACCCUACACUUCCUGAAAUACAUCCCAUACGUGAAAACCGAGUCCGAGUUAUAAUAUAGUAUUAAAAAUAAAUGGAAAACAAGAAGAAGUAAGUUGAGGCGGGCCGCGUAGACCCACCCCAAACUUAACGCGGGCCGUGUGAGGGUGUAACUGGACUCCGCUGAAUUCUUAAGUCCAGGCGGGCCGCGUAAGAUCACACCGUUAGUUUACGCGGGCCGCGAGUGUCCCAAUUGGUGGCGCAGCCCGGUGAUGACACGUGUCAUCAUCGUGGCGAGGCUAGAUCAUGACCAGGACAAGCUAUACGUUGACCUGGAGUCAACGUGGGCCGCAUAAGCCUUGCCUGUUCUUUACGCGGGCCGCGUGGGAACCAGUUUCAGCAACUAUAUAAAGAACGCAUCGGAUUUCAAUUCAGUUCGCUCACAUCUUUCUUUCUAAACGAAUUUCUGAAGUAGUAGAGAGUAUAGUUGGGUAUUAUACCCCUAAUUAGCAAAGCUCUGCCUCGUUGUAAGUAUCAUAACCCCUGGAUACGUAUUAGGUACUCUGCCCGAUUGAUCUAGGGUUCCGUAACGGCUGUCGUGGUUCUGCCCGACGUAGUCGUUGGAAUGCCGUCUCGGGGAGGACUAUAACCAGGGAAUCACAGAGGAAAGCCCUAUAAUAGCAAUGUGAGUAAUCUCCUUUUUGUAAACUGUUUUUACAAAACCUUAAAUACCUUUUCAUGCGAAUGACAGUUAUUGAGUAUUUGUAAAGGAUACAAUUAUAGUGGGUAUGUUGGGGUUUUGUAUACAAAAUUGGUUACUGGCGUGGUAACAUCCCAUAAGUUGAGUAUGACCGUACCACUGAUGUUAAUUGUGAUGUCUUGGAUACAAAUGUAAUUGCGGAUGUGCCCUCAAUACUGCAAAUUGGUUUUUAUUUAAACUUGAUUAAACUGGGAUUCACUCACCAGUAUUUCCUGCUGAUAAAAUGUUUUAAACACGUGUUUCAGGUAACUUAGUGUGAAGCCAAUAAAAGCCAGCUGGAGAGCACUGAAGGCUUGGAAAAGUGGCUAUAAAGUUACCUAAAAUAAAAUAGUUGUUUUUAUUAAUAAAAAUAGGAUUUAUUCCUAUGAAAGUGUGUAUACUGAAAACUUGGGUUUUACCCAUGUGUUUAAUAUUAUGAAAAUAUGGUGGUUU